rnacentral:rRNA from 1 species
UACGUAGGCAGCGAGCGUUGUCCGGAAUUACUGGGCGUAAAGAGCUCGUAGGUGGUUUGUCGCGUUGUUCGUGAAAACUCACAGCUUAACUGUGGGCGUGCGGGCGAUACGGGCAGACUGGAGUACUGCAGGGGAGACUGGAAUUCCUGGUGUAGCGGUGGAAUGCGCAGAUAUCAGGAGGAACACCGGUGGCGAAGGCGGGUCUCUGGGCAGUAACUGACGC